GUCCAGGGAUGGAAAUCGAAUCCACAGUGUUCCAUUUACCAGUCAGAUGCCAUGUCCACUAGGCUACCCUGGA
rnacentral:tRNA from 1 species